AGUCGGUCGGACAGCCGCGGGCAUAAGGGGAAACCCUGUGCGUGAGGAAAGUCCGGGCUCCAAAGGGCAAGGAUAACGGGUAACACCCGCCGGGGGCGACCCCCGGACAAGUGCAACAGAGAUAUACCGCCCCGCCGCAGCGGCGAGGUAAGGGUGGAAAGGCGAGGUAAGAGCUCACCCGGGGCGUGGAGACACGUUCCCGCUGUAAACUCUAUCCGGAGCAACACCGUGGAGGGACAUAAGGUCUGCCCGGCCGUCCCAUGGAGGUGGCUUGAGCCUUGAGGCAACUCAAGGCGUAGAUAGAUGGCUGUCGAUUACAGAACCCGGCUUACAGACCGGCUG
rnacentral:RNase_P_RNA from 1 species